GAAGUGAUCUAAAUUUGUUAAUCUUUCCAAUAUACCAAAACCCCAUCCAUCUCUACAGACAGAACUAUCCAGUUCUAUCCAGAAGUAUCCAGAAGUUGAAGAGGUUGAAGUGAGAAAAUGCAGCUUGAGAUCUAAAUAUUGCAGAAAAUGCAACCAACCUAAUUCAAAGGGAGUGGCAAUCCAAGAAACAUUGCAAUCUGCUUCUUUUUUCCAGGGAUGUUUAUUUGGUAGAGCAAGAGAGUCAAACACUGUCAGCACAGAAAACCAAAGAGAUUCAAUAUUCACAGAAAGCAAAUAGAGUGAAAGAAUUUUUUAACGGACAAAUAUUUAAACUAUUUCAAACUUUAUUUGACCAGCUAUGCAUUAUAUUUUUAAGUCUCUAUGUUGACAAUGAAGCUUCAAAAGCUGAGAAAGAAAAGAGCAGACAGGACUUCUUGUGCAGAAAUUUAUACACAUGGGUAGACACAUGUGAACUUAAUAUACACACUCAUUGUAUUUAUCAAAGAAUAUACACAUAAACAUAAACAGAAUAUCUAAAACUUUAUGUUAGAACUGCAAAUACCCUAGGGAAAACAGACUAAUUUAGCAUUAUGCUCUGGGCACCACAUCCAAGUGGAAAGGAUGCAAUCUCCUGAGAACAGAAAACUCUGCCUUGCAGCUAAAACUCUGACAUCUGCCUGCUGUAGUGAGACCACACAGGACUCCACAUGCUUCAGUGAAACUAAGCUUGUAGUAAGACGAAAGCUUGCCCCCCAACUAAAUUUAUGGUGGUUGGGUUGAAAAGUCGAUUAUAAUUCCACAAAAGGACAAAGUAGAAGCAGACCCAUCACAACUUAAGAGGUCACAGUACAUUUUGGAAAAUGAUAAAAAAUGAGACUGAAUAUUUUAGCUAUAAGAAAAUCCCUAGGGCUUUUUAAUUUUGCCUUAAGCCUGGAUGAUCUGAUUGAUUAUAGCAUUUGACAACUUAUAUACAAUUCUAGGAAAAGAAGGUUUAUUCUGAAGCAACGGAUUGGUGACAAAAACCUUCUAAGAAAUUCUAGUUGCAAAUGAUACGUCUGCUCUUUAACUGUACCACAGUCACAAACUCUUAAAAUAUAAAAUAGCUUUGGGUCUUUUUCUUCUGCCAUUUUUUUGCUAUAUAGGACCCUAACUACAUGUCACAUUCACUGUACUUCCCUGACAGGCAAAAGCUGCAAAGAAACAAAAUCCCUUUACUUUCCUAAGGAAUAUUUAAUGAAAUACGAAAAUACCAGAAAACAUCUUUCUGAUAACAUGCCCUUUUUACUACUGUCUGGAACAAAAGGAUGCUAAAUAACUUAAAAUUUGUCCACUUGAAAAAGACAUUCUUCCCAACCAGUAAACAUUAUCUUUUCAUUUAUCAGUGGGAAAGGAAAUGGACCACAUGAAAGAACCUCAGCACUCAGUCCUCAGCUAGAUUUACUUAACUAGCUUAAAUUAUUUGCUAACUCUCCAGAGGCAUAAAGAAAAGUUGAAAAAAAGUUAUGUUUGGUUGGUUUGGCUGCAAGGCAGGUUUCUGAUCAUUUCCAAAUGAUGACUGACAUACUAAAGAAAGAAAUUUAGGAAGUUGAAAAAUUGCCUCAGAGAAGGAAAAGUAGAAUAUUUUCUUCUUAUUAUUAUUAUUAUUUUAAUACUUUAUUUUUUAGUUUGACAGAUGUUACAAAGGACAGAUAAUGCUUCUAAGACUAACACUCCUAGUGUUCAAAACGGGGAGAAGAGUUUCAUCUACUCUAUGAGCAGUCUUACUAGUAUAAAUCUUUUUCUACUUCAGACAAGCUUUCGCUCCCCCUAUCAUACCAUAUUACUUAAUUUGCAGCUAUUCCCAAUUCAGUGUUACAUCUAUGAAAUGAUGACAGAAUUUCUACAGAAAUGUACAAUUCACAUUUCACACACACACACACACACACACACACACA
rnacentral:lncRNA from 7 species